rnacentral:rRNA from 1 species
CUACGGGGUGCAGCAGUGGGGAAUAUUGCACAAUGGGCGCAAGCCUGAUGCAGCCAUGCCGCGUGUACGAAGAAGGCCUUCGGGUUGUAAAGUACUUUCAGCGGGGAGGAAGGGAGUAAAGUUAAUACCUUUGCUCAUUGACGUUACCCGCAGAAGAAGCACCGGCUAACUCCGUGCCAGCAGCCGCGAGUAAUACGGAGGGUGCAAGCGUUAAUCGGAAUUACUGGGCGUAAAGCGCACGCAGGCGGUGUGUUAAGUCAGAUGUGAAAUCCCCGGGCUCAACCUGGGAACUGCAUCUGAUACUGGCAAGCUUGAGUCUCGUAGAGGGGGGUAGAAUUCCAGGUGUAGCGGUGAAAUGUGUAGAGAUCUGGAGGAAUACCGGUGGCGAAGGCGGCCCCCUGGACGAAGACUGACGCUCAGGUGCGAAAGCGUGGGGAGCAAACAGGAUUAGAUACCCUCGUAGUC